rnacentral:rRNA from 1 species
CCGGCAACCGGCGCACGGGUGAGUAACACGUAUGCAACCUGCCCGUCUCAGGGGGAUAAUCGUCGGAAACGGCGUCUAAUACCCCGUAUGAAGCUGGGCGGCAUCGUCUGGUUUUGAAAGAAUAUCGGAGACGGAUGGGCAUGCGGCGCAUUAGCUAGUUGGCGGGGUAACGGCCCACCAAGGCGACGAUGCGUAGGGGUUCUGAGAGGAAGGUCCCCCACACUGGUACUGAGACACGGACCAGACUCCUACGGAAGGCAGCAG